rnacentral:rRNA from 1 species
AUUGAACGCUGGCGGCAGGCCUAACACAUGCAAGUCGAACGAGUGGCGGACGGGUGAGUAAUGUCUGGGAAACUGCCCGAUGGAGGGGGAUAACUACUGGAAACGGUAGCUAAUACCGCAUACCAUCGGAUGUGCCCAGAUGGGAUUAGCUAGUAGGUGGGGUAACGGCUCACCUAGGCGACGAUCCCUAGCUGGUUUGAGCGGAUGACCAGCCACGUUGGAGCUGUGACACGGUCCAGAUGCCUACGUGAGGCAGCAGGGGGGAAUAUUGCACAAUGGGCGCAAGCCUGGUGUAGUCAGGCCGCGUGUAUGAAGAAGGCUUUCGGGUUGUAAAGUGCUUUCAGCGAGGGCGCGUUACUCGCAGAAAAAGCACCGGCUAAAUCCGUGCCAGCAGCCGCGGUAAUUC